GAGGUCUCUGAGCCUAUACAGCACGUGAGCUACGUGGCCAAGUCCUCUGACCCCAAAUUUUCACUCAAUGAAAAAAUACUGAGUGCCAGGUGCCAAGCCUCUUCAGUUUAAAUGACACUGGGCAAUUUAGCAAGCUACCAUUCCACCUAACACCAAUGGAUCAGGAGUUUUAUGUGUGGAAAGCGCUUUGGGCAGUGCUUGGACAUCUGAGUCACGGCUCGUGACUCCACAAAUUCUCCAACGCUCACAAUGGGAAAUUCCCAGUUUAGAAAACUAUAACCAUUCACAGCUUUAUUAAAGCGGUUGGUUCUGAGAGCAAAUGUAUGCUUUUCCCAUAGUAAAUUUACCUUUGCUGUUGAAGCCACACGUACGAUUCUUGAUGUUACUAAAUGGAACUAUGAAACCAACUAUACUGGAUUUACAAUUGAUUUACUAGGAAAUGCCUCCUAAUAUCCCAUUUGGGGUUUGGCAACAGUACCCUGGGGCAACCGCAGCAGUAGAUCUGAUUCCUUCUUCCCUUCCCCUAGCUCCAGGCCACCUGCAGAGCUUCAAUAGUCCAAUGGGAGUGAGAAAUGAGGCCUGGGAAAGUCUGUGGGAAGUCAGCAGGAGCUGAGAGGAGGGCAGCUGGGCCUGGAAAUGAGCCUGGAGGGGGCACUUGCCUUGCUGCUUACCUGUCUUCCCUACCUGGGAAAUGGUCAGCAGAGAAGUAGGAGAUAAUGGACAGCCAGUGGGGGUUCCAGGAGGGGGGAAUAAAGACCAGAGUGAUAUUAGGAAGGUAAGCCAGGAAGAGGAGGAAAAGGAGAAUGAGGAGAAGGGAAGGAUUAUGUGUAGCUGGUGGUCACCCACAAAGGGCAUCUGAGGUCAGGUGGCACACCUCCCUCACCAUGCUGCGCCAACAGAGUGAUCCCUGGAUGCCAAUUCCCUUCAAAUUCCUCCCAGCUGGCCAAUGUGGUGCCCACCUAGCUGAGGUGCAGCCUGCAGGUUGAACCUUGCCAUUUAUCAUGGGCUGGAAUGCAGAAGUGGUUGCCUUGACAAUGACCUUGGCAAUGUACCCUUGACUGCCUCAGCCUGGACCCUGAUGGGGGAAAAAAGUCAACUAUCUGUUAUGGUUACUAGCCUGUGACAGACUCCAAACCGUCACACAAAUGAGAAUUCCACAGUGGUAAGAAACAAACAAGACAGUUUUAUUAUUAUUAUUAACCUCUACAGAGCCUUUCUUCCCUCUCCUUCCUCCAGCCAGCUGUCUGGUGGGGCCAGGGAAAGGAUGAAUAAUGAUAGACAAAAGUCAGGCUCCUGUCCUCUCCCAGCCCUGCAGAUGACAGCACGGAAUAAUCCAGAACCAUCAUUCUGGUACAAAUGUUUUCCUGAGGAUUAAAAUUCCAAAAUUGAAAUUUGUUUUCCCAGAAAAGAACCCUGGGAGAGAAGGCGGAAGGAAGUGGCGACUGCAUCCUUGUGCCCUUGGGCUGUGGGAAAGAAAAGGGCUGAUCCCUGAAGGCGUAGCCUUUCCACCUUGCAAGAGCAAAACCCAGGACAUCUUGGAACUACCCUGUCCCCGUCCCAGUCUUCAAAGUCUCCAACCCAGGGGUGCAGAUGCUCUGGAUGUGCUGAGGCUGGAACACACGUGACAUGCUCCAGGGACAGAAAGAUGAGGGUGAGGGUGCGCUAAAGCACAGCAGGAGGAAGAGGGCACACUGGCGGGGAGUGGAAGAGAAGGCGGGACUACUGCUCUCCCCUCUUCACCAUGGGUCUUGAUCUUGUGAAUAUCCAAGGUGAUACGUCUUCUUAUUCCACAGUGGAGAACAGGCUCGGUGAGGUGAAGCUAUUAGCCCAAUGCUGCACAGUUAGUCACAGUUGCUGAGAACCGGUCCUCGAAUACCAAGGAAGUUCUCCUGAGAACACGGUGAUGUAGAUGUUGCUUCCUCUGAAUCUGUUCUGAAAGUGCAUUCAGUUUUGUUUUUUUGAUCUCCUGUCAGCUAAAUGCUGGUCUGUAAGUUAUUGUUUUAAACUACAGCUGACUGAGCUGUGUUGAGAUCUUUGUCAAGAAACCUUUGAGUUGGCACUGCGACCUCUGUAGCUGGUCCUUAUGAUUAAAAAGCCAUUUCGAUCUUU